GCCUACGUGGGGUAAUGGUCAGCACGCUCGCCCCUUAUUCGAGUAGUCCAGGGUUCGAGUCCCGGCGAGGGCA
rnacentral:tRNA from 1 species